ACUCCUACGGGAGGCAGCAGUGGGGAAUUUUGGACAAUGGACGCAAGUCUGAUCCAGCCAUUCCGCGUGCAGGAUGAAGGCCCUCGGGUUGUAAACUGCUUUUGUACGGAACGAAAAGGUUUCUAUUAAUACUAGGAGCUCAUGACGGUACCGUAAGAAUAAGCACCGGCUAACUACGUGCCAGCAGCCGCGGUAAUAC
rnacentral:rRNA from 1 species